UGUUAAAUUCAUGGUACAAAACCUGCAAGUCCAAUCUAAGUAUGUAACCCCAACACACAGCCGUGGGAGGGGGGAGAGAGAGAGAGAGAACCAAUGUAAUAAUAUCCUAUGGAUGAUGAUGUGACAGAAAACAAUGGAAAAAUUUACAUGGAAAUUCAAAGUGUUAGAUUUUCUCACGAAUAACUGUAAUAGUCGAAGCAGAGUGUAUUGAGCGCAAAAACAACAAAAUAUGAUUGUUUAUAUGUUUACCUUAAUUGUAAGAGUUCCUCUA
rnacentral:misc_RNA from 1 species